ACCAUUUCCUGGUACUCUUUGUAAUGGGAGGAACACUACAGCACAACAGCAGAGAAGAUCAAACAGUGGUCGUUCGCUGAGUCAGGGUUAAGAAAAACCACCAGUUGACUCUAAAAAACAUGCGUGACUGACAGAGAAUUCCCCCUUCAGCCAGUGAUAACCUGCUGUCCAUCCCCACCCCCUCCCUCUGCCUUGUGGGGCAGGAAGCGGAGCAGCUCAGACGUACUGUACAGUCCCUCGCGUCUGGGCCGGAACCAGGAUGUGUUGCUAGGCGCAGGGAUGAUUGUGUCAGCACUUGCUGGCCGCUUCGUUUCCUUACAGAGCAACGCACAGACACAGGAGGAGGUGACAGGAAACACUAAGGUCAGCCAUGGUCUGGGACCUCUGCUCAGUCAUCUUGUUUUUAGAAGACAUAAAUCACACGAAAUCCACCGGUUCCUCUCCUCUUCAAAGGCCUUUGUUUUACAGCCUCGGCACAGAGGUUAUCAGCAGGGCAGCAGCAAUAGUGUGUAUAAUAGACCUACUUACACUGCCUGAUAAGAUGCAUUGAGAGUCUGUGACUCUCACUUUAGGCUGUCAAUAAAACCAGGGAAUCGGUGUGUUUUUUCAGGCUUUGAAUUAUAUCACAUCAACGUGACAGUGGCACCAUUUUUCGACGCAGACUUGUCUGCCAAUAUAAACCGUGGAAGAAUUGUUUGGGUUCCUGUCUGUGGGUUUCUACGACUGACCCUGUCUGGGUGAUUAAAUGGCUCUGUGCUGCAGGUUUCAGUGCCAUCAUCCCUGGCUAGAAGGUUAUACACACAGCCGUGUACAGUAGAUAUUGAUGUCGUCAAUAAAAGUGUCUUGGAGUUAUGUCAGCCGACUAGAUGCUCCAAGGUUAAGCGGUGUUAAGCACACCUUCUCCUCCUCGUUAGACACUGUUUGUUUCACUGUCAAUCACACCAUAUGUCAGCUUCUUUUGUGUUUGUUUGUUCACUCGC